rnacentral:lncRNA from 1 species
UUUUUUUUUUUUUUUUUUUUUUUUUUUUUUUUUGAGACAGUCUUACUCUGUCGCCAGGCUGGAGUGCAGUGGUGUGGUCUUGGCUCACUGCAACCUCCACCUCCCAGGUUCAAGCAAUUCUCCUGCCUCAGCCUCCUGAGUAGUGGGACUACACGUGCCCGCCACCACGCCUGGCUAAUUUUUGUAUUUUUAGUAAAGACGGGGUUUCACCAUGUUGGACAGGAUGGUCUUGAUCUCCUGACCUCGUGAUCUGCCCUCCUCGGCCUCCCGAAGUGCUGGGAUUACAGGCGUGAGCCACCACGCCCAGCCCUUUCUCUUUUUUUUUUUUUUACUCACCACUAUACUAACAAGGGCUCUUUUCAUUUUCUUAGUGGUGGUGGUUGAAUUGUAAAAGUUUUUUACUUUGAUGAAGUUUAGUUUAUCAGUUGUUUCUUUUAUGGAUCAUGCCUUUGGUGUCGUAUCUUAAGAACUUUUUGAAGUCUUCUUGUUUUAUUCUUACAUGUAGGUAUGUGAUCCACUUUGUGUUCAUUUUUGGGCAUGGUGUAAGGGAAGAGUCUAAAUUCAUCUUUUCAUGGACCGAUUUCCAUUUGUCCAAGCACCAUUUGUUGUAGAGUAUCUUUUCCCCAUUGAAUUGCUUUGAUACCUUUGUCUAAAUCAAUUGGGCAUAAAUAUAAGGGUUUAUUUCUAAACUCUUAGUUCUGUUCCAUUGAUCUGUGCCUGUCCAUGAUUGUGUGUUAUUGAUGACUCUGGCUUUAAAGUAUUUGUAAGUCAUUAAAUCAGGUAAUGUAACACCUCCAACUUUGUUAUUUUUCAAAAUUCUUUUGACUUUUCUAGAUACUUUGCAUUCCCAUGUCACUUUUAUGAUCAGAUUGUCAGUUACUACAGAAAAGCCUUCUGAGGUUUUAAAUAUAUAUUGUGUUUAAUUUACAGAUCAAGUUGAGAAUUGCCAUCUUGACAAUAUGAAGUCUUCCAGUCUGUGAACAUGGAGUUUGUGUCCAUUUAUUUAGAUAUUCCUUGAUUUCUCUUAGCAAUAUUUUGUUAUUUUCAGUAUAUACAUCUUACACUCCUUUUGUUAAAAUGUUCAUAUUACUUUGCUAUUACGAAUGGAAUUGCUUGCUGAAUUUUGUUUUCAGACUUUUUGGUGCUAGUAUAUAGAAAUACCAUUGAUUUUUGUUUAUUGAUCUUAUAUCCUGUGACCUGUCUAAAUUCAAUCUGUUAGUUUUAUCAUUUUUUAAAAAAAUGUCCGUGUGUGUCUUCCUUGAGAUUUUCUACAUUAUCAUGUCAUCUGCAAAUAAAGACAUUUACUUCUUUCUUUCCAA